UACGGAGGGGGCGAGCGUUAUCCGGAUUUACUGGGCGUAAAGCGCGUUAAGGCGGCUGGCAAAGUUGGCUGUGAAAUUUCGGGGCUCAACCCCGAAACUGCGUCCAAUACUGGUCGACUUGAGUACGAGAGAGGAAGGUGGAAUUCCCGGUGUAGUAGUGAAAUGCGUAGAUAUCAGGAGGAACACCGAUGGCGAAGGCAGGUCUCUGGGCAUUAACUGACGCUGAGGAGCGAAAGCAUGGGGAGCGAACAGG
rnacentral:rRNA from 1 species